CUUUACCAAAGCCCUGCUUUAAACUUUCAGCAACACUUCCUGGAGUAGAAGAGUGGAAUACGAGAAAACACCUUAUCAACAGGGCCAACCUGAUCUGAGAAAAUUCUCAAUGCCAUGAUAGACACCCUAGACAAAGUUGCAGAAAUACGUCCGUGAAUUCCACCCCUGCUGAUUGGCUUUCCUGUGACACAUGCAUAUGCAUUGAUAUUACCGUGACCUGUAAAUAUGAAUCAUGAUGAUUUCUUCUUCAAACAGCUCAUAUGAUAGUAAACAAAACAUUCACAACCAUACCAAGAGUCAUAUCAUAUGUGUCAACCAUCCACGACAUUUCUUUUUCACCAGUACCCAUGUCUGGAGCGGGAACAUCCAAACCUGGGCCUAUAAAUCCUUUCUUUGCCAAUUCAACUGUAAACCGCCUUGUGAUUCUUUCUAAUUCACCAUCCUGAUUCAAAUAAAAAUUUCCAACUUA